rnacentral:rRNA from 1 species
GUGAUGUACCUAGUAGUAUUAGUAAUAAAUAUAAGAUUAACUAAGUUAAUUAAAAUUCUAAGUAGGUAUUUGAUUAUGACAAUAUCUGCAUAGGUCUUGACCAAGUCACGUGCCAGCAGUCGCGGUAAUACGUGGAAGACAAGUGUUAUUCAUAUUUAUUGGGUUUAAAGGGUACCUAGACUGUUAAUUAAGCAAUAAAUUGUACUGAUUAACUAGAGUUUAAUGUAAGAAGGAUUGAGUACGGUGAGAGUAGAGAUAAAAUUCUUUGAUACCGUUUAGGCACUGGCAAGAGCGAAGGCUACCUUCAAUGUAAAAACUGACGUUAAGGGACGAAGGCUUGUAACAAAUAAUAGGAUUAGAUACCCUAGUAUUUUGAGCAGAAAAUGAUGAGUGUCAUAUACAAGAUUUUUUUUUGUGUAUAAAUGAAAAUGUAAGCACUCCACCUCAAGAGUAACGUGGCAACAUGGGAACUGAAAUCAUUAGACCGUUUCUGGAACUCGUAGUGAAGUAUGUUGUUUAAUUUGAUGGUCCACAAAAAACCUUACCACAAUUUGUAUAACUAUUAUACAUAGUUACAAGCGUUGCACGGCUGUCUUCAGUCAAUGUUGUGAAAUUUUGGUUAGAUCCAUAUAAUUGACGUAAACCCUUACUUUAUUUAUUAUAAAGUAGUUCGCCGCUAUAUUGGUAAUGAUAU